CCCCCCCCCCCGUGCUCUCCCUCCCCACCCCCCUCCCUCCAUUACUGGACGCACCUCGCUUUGGCUAUCGUUAAGAACAAACUUGUCUUUUCUUUUUACUUUUAUAGUGACUUUAAAAGAACUUUAUCCUACUGGUUAGAGGUGGGCCAGCGGCUGCAUCUAGACCUCCCUAAAACUCCGCCAUCCCUCUCCCAAAGUCUAUCUGACAAGAGGGGACCAUCCAAACUGCCCAGCACAGCUCGGGAAAGGACAAGAACCGCCCGCUAGGGCUGGGAGCGCGGGACGCAGGUGAAAGAUAGGAGAUGGAGCUGGAGCCAAGCCGGGACUGACCGGAGCUGGCCUCUUCCCAAUGGCUUUCCGCCGGCUCCACACCGGGUCGCCACUCCGACUCCAGCGGCUGGUUCAGGAUCGGUGGCUUUUGGCCGUCCGGCCGGAAACAAGCGCCCGUUUCCGGCCGGAGCGGGUUGGCGGUGACACCCUAGCCGCCCCCGGGCCUCCUCCCGCCCGGCGCGGCCAGCCCCGCCCCGCCCCGUCCCGCCCCGCCCCGCCCCUCCCCUCCCCGCAGCAGCCCCGCCCUCAGGACCGCUUUGGGGUUGUGGCCGGUUUGGCGCUUGCCCGGCGCGUGACCCCGCGCGUUCUUGGCUCGCAUCCCCGAUCCCCUAGGCUGAAGCACUUUUGAGCGGGAGCUGGGAGCUCGGCAUGGACUGUUAAGACUUUGGGGUCGCAUCAGUUGGCGCCAGCCCUAAGGGAAGAAAUGGAAACCAGCGGAGUAGCUUUCGAAAGAGGAGGACCUAGCCCCCCUGUAAUAGGCCAUCCCUGUGCAGAUGGACCUGGGCUGUAUAAGGAAGCUGAACUGAGCAGAAACAAGAGUAAGCCAGUAAGCCGCACUCCUCCGCACUCCUCUGCAGCCUGUCUCGGUUCCUGCCUUCCGGUUCCUGCUUGAGUCCACGCCCUGAAUUCUUUCGAGGACUGACUACUAUAGUCUAUAGGAUAAAAUAAAUCUUCCUUUCCAAGUU